GUCCUGCCUACCUGUCCUGACUGCCUUGUCCUGAGUGUCAUCAGUGUGGAUGCUGAGGACAUCAUUAAGUCACUCUAUAUCUUUGGGAGAACAAAGAAGUUAAGUCAGGCUGAUUUGGAGAUGUAUCAGAAACAAGUGGAGUGCCUGGGGCUUCCAGAGCCAAGCUUCAAAUAUGAUCAAAAGCAAGAUAUCUGUCCUGAUGAAGAGAAACCUGCAGAGGAGGUCAAAGCCACAAACAGUGAAAGUGCUUGAUGAAAGUGUUAUUGCUAUUUGGAAAUAAAUUUUACAUUUUCCAUAGCA